rnacentral:lncRNA from 1 species
GGAGAGUUGCUUCUGACAAUCACAGGAUAAUCUUCUCUGGACCUCCCUCUGGUGGGACUUUACGGGCUAAUUUUCCAAGCAUGAGUUCAGAUAGAAGUCCCUCAGUGGCUUCACGGUUUUCAUCAAGUUCAUAUGGUGAAAUGGUUGGUGAUUCACCAACAAUUUCCCUUGCAAGAACUGAAGGGAAUGAGACUGCAAUUGACUCAUCCACACUGCACCACUUCAUUCUUGGUCAUCAUCAGCCAUCUUCUCCAAGUAUAGUAAGUAAAUCAUGUUAUUUCUCUUGUCUCUUUAAAUUACUUAAUUAUAAGCAAUACCUUCAUUUUUUGUUUCCUAAUGUAAUGCGAAUGUUUCUGUUUGAAGAAUUAGAUCUAAUAUGCUUCUUAAAUCUUUUGAUGAUUGGGGGAAAAUAGCAGGCAGAGAGUUUAAAUGAUGAGCCAGCUGGAAGCAUGAAUGAUGAACUAUUGGAUAGACUUGAUCAGUAUGUCGCGGAGGCAGAAGAUGCAAGGCGAGAAGCUUUUGAAGAAUCAAUCAAGCGUAGGAAAGCAGAGAAGGAUGCAAUCGAGGCUAGACGAAGGGUAAAUUUGUUCAUUUAAAUUUUACUUUGGAUGGUUGAAUGUUAUGGAACUACAGUUUGGCUUUCUCUUGGUUGUUUGCGACGAUUACUCAUUUGCGCCAAAUUUCCCAUCUGUUGAUUGAUGAGAAGCUUAAGUUUGAUUGAGAUUUAAGACAGUAAGACCUACACUGCCACUUUUUGAAAAGGAGAUUGUUUUUGUAAGUAUCUGCACUACUAUUAAGGGGGAGAUUCUUAUUGCAAUAGUUUCAUUUCAGGCAAAAGCAUCAGAAACAAUCUAUGCCGAUGAGUUGAGGCAGAGAAGAGACAUAGAGGAAGCACUUGCAAAAAGCAAGGAAGAAGCUAAUCAAAUGAAAUCAAAGCUAAAUAAAAUGUUGGCAGAUCUGCAGGCAGCUCAAGCACAGACAUCUUCGCUGGAGCGCCAACUCUUAAAUUCUGACACAACGGUGCAAGAGUUGGAACAGAAAAUGUUUUCUGCUGUCGACCUUUUGCAGAAGUACAGGAAGGAGAGAGAUGAACUGCAGGUGGAGCGUGACGAUGCACUCAAUAUAGCUGAGGCGCUGAGGGAACAGCACUCAAACGGGUCCUCGACUACAUCUGCAUCUGUAUUAUUUGCUGAAUUUUAUUUUCAUGAAAUCGAAGAAGCAACUCGGCGUUUUGACCCAGCCUUGAAAAUUGGAGAAGGCGGUUAUGGAAGCAUUUACCGAGGCCUCCUUCGCCACACUCAUGUAGCAAUAAAGAUGCUGCACCCUCAUAGCUCGCAAGGGCCCUCAGAGUUCCAACAGGAGGUUAGAUUCGUUAUGUUUUGCUGAAUUUCUGCCUCUGUGCAUAGAAGAACCUAAAUUGUGUCUACUCUCCUAAAUUAUUGUGUAAUUUCUAUUUCUUUGUUGUCUUGGUAUUUGUCCUCUCAAUCGUGCCCCUUGUUUUGGCCAGAUUCUACUUUAUAGCCCUGUUUUGGGCGGCCAAGCCCCAAGGCAAGAAGUUAAAAUAGGAAAAUAAAAGAACUAAAGACCAGCAGUGCUCAAUGGCUUGAUAUCUAUUGAUGGUGGUAGCGCAGAUGGAUAUAGUGGGAAGUAAAAAUACUUUCUUGUUUAUUUUGUGUCCAACAUAUUGAAGCUACACUUAGAUCAUGAGCAUUUACCACUCACCAGAUGAGAACUAUCCUUUUAUGGUUUGAUUAGGCCAUUUAGCUCUUUCCCACAUCUUCUUUAAGAUGGUUGAUUAUCUGCUAAAAAUGGUUGUAUAUUUAUUAGGCCAAUAGGUUUAUCUCGGAAGGGUUAGUGCUCUUCUAGAUGUUGAAAUAUCAAAAUACCAGUUAUCUUGUUUGUUUCGCUAGAUUUAUUACCAUGUAAGACUCGGUUUACUCACAAACCUCCAAUAGGGUCACUUCACCUGAUAUCUUCCUGCUCACUGGUUUACACGCCUAUCAAAUUUUAUGUGUUCUAGUGUGUUGUUUCAUCAGUUUUCUGCUCUACUUACCUUGUUAUAUUGCUUUUUCAUGCUAUGCUUAUCUCUCAAUCAAUAUCCCACGAAGUUUUAAUUCAUUAACAGAUAGCUUUUUGGCAAUUCAUGAUAUGGUUUGUUGGUCUCAUAUAGGUCAAUAUUUUAAGCAAGUUGAGGCAUCCAAAUAUUGUCACACUUAUAGGAGCGUGUCCAGAAGCAUGGGCUCUUGUAUACGAGUAUCUUCCCAACGGAAGCCUGGAAGAUCGUCUUACCUGCAAGGAUAACACGCCUCCACUGUCGUGGCAAACUAGAAUUCGUGUUGCAUCAGAGCUUUGCUCUGCUCUCAUCUUCCUCCAUUCCUGCACCGCUCGGGGCAUAAUUCAUGGUGAUCUAAAACCAGCAAAUAUCUUGCUUGAUGCAAACUUUGUGAGCAAGCUUAGUGACUUUGGAAUUUGUCGAGUUCUCCCAGAAGACGAAUUUUCGGAAAAAAGUACUUCACUUUGUUACAGAACUGACCCAAAAGGGACAUUUGCAUAUUUGGACCCUGAAUUCCUCGAUACAGGAGAGCUUACUCCAAAGUCUGAUGUUUAUUCAUUUGGGAUUAUAUUACUUAGGCUGUUGACUGGGAGGCCUGCAUUGGGAAUAAACAAUGAAGUCCAAUAUGCAUUAGAUAAAGGAAAUUUGAAAGAUCUGCUGGAUCCAACUGCUGGAGACUGGCCGUUUGUGCAAGCCAAGCAGUUGGCUCACUUAGCUAUGAAUUGUUGUGAGAAGAACAGGAGGCUUCGCCCUGAACUUUCUUCAGAGGUGUGGAAGGUGCUUGAACCAAUGAGAGCUUCAUGUGGAGCAUCAUCUUUUAGGAUGAGUUCUGAAGAGCGUUGUGAAAUUCCAUCCUAUUUUAUUUGUCCAAUAUUUCAGGUUAGUAUACUGCUUGUUUUAAAUCUAGCAUCAUACGGCAUUAUAAGUCCCGUAUAGUUUGAAUUGAGCAGUCAUCAUACAUGAUUAAAUGAGGUAGGUGUUCCAGUUAUAUAACAAAUUAUCAUCUGAAGCAUGUUGACAAAUUCUUCUAUUUUACGUCUAUCAGAAACAAUCUCUCUACCUUCCCAAGGUUAGGGGUAAGGUCUGCGUACACAAUACCCUCCCCAUACCCCACUUGUGGGAUUACACUGGGUUUGUUGUUAGCACGUUGAGAAAUUAGCAUACCCUCACUCUCACUCUCCCGAACCCAAACCCCCUCUUUUGACUAGAAAUCAGCAUCCUUUUCUGUUGUUUCUCAGUUCUGCAAAAAAGGGCAGCCCGGUGCGCACUAAGCUCCCGCUAUGCGCGGGGUCCGGGGAAGGGCUGGACCACAAGUGGUCUAUUGUACACAGCCUUACCCUGCAUUUCUGCAAGAGGUUGUUUCCACGGCUCGAACCCGUGACCUCCUGGUUACAUGGCAGCAACUUUAUCGGUUAGGCCAAGGCUCCCCUUCGUUUCUCAGUUCUGCAAAAUUAUAGUAAUUUUUAAGUUUCCAUGCAAGUUUGUGUUUUGAUACUCCAGUCAAUGAGGUUGUUGUCAUCCAACUGAAUGAAGUUUGGAAAGUUAAGAUAGUCUCUUUGUUUUCAUUGUUCUUCCCUUCAGAAAGCAUAAUGAGUUAAAUUCUAGCCAUUUAUUGAUGUUAUUACGUGUUUCAUUUCUGGCUGUGAAAACCAACAGGAAACUAUGCAAGAUCCAGUAGUAGCAGCGGAUGGCUUCACAUACGAAGCAGAAGCGUUAAGAGGAUGGUUGGACAGUNNNNNNNNNNNNNNNNNNNNNNNNNGCACCCCCUAUUUUAUAUGCUUUUCAUGGAUGCUAAGCUCUAGUUUUACUGUAUAGCAGCACUACAAAAAAAAUACUUCUAUACAGGUUUUGUGUACAUAAUGGCAUAAACUGGAAGUUGAAAGUCUAGUAUGGACUGAGUGGUUUUAUAUAAACAUAUAUGAAAUGGAACAGAUCGACUUGUUUCCAUGCUGAAUUUGGAACUCAG